rnacentral:rRNA from 1 species
GGCGGCGUGCCUAAUACAUGCAAGUAGAACGCUGAAGGGGGAGCUUGCUUCUCUGGAUGAGUUGCGAACGGGUGAGUAACGCGUAGGUAACCUGCCUGGUAGCGGGGGAUAACUAUUGGAAACGAUAGCUAAUACCGCAUAAGAGUAGAUGUUGCAUGACAUUUGCUUAAAAGGUGCAAAUGCAUCACUACCAGAUGGACCUGCGUUGUAUUAGCUAGUUGGUGGGGUAACGGCUCACCAAGGCGACGAUACAUAGCCGACCUGAGAGGGUGAUCGGCCACACUGGGACUGAGACACGGCCCAGACUCCUACGGGAGGCAGCAGUAGGGAAUCUUCGGCAAUGGACGGAAGUCUGACCGAGCAACGCCGCGUGAGUGAAGAAGGUUUUCGGAUCGUAAAGCUCUGUUGUAAGAGAAGAACGAGUGUGAGAGUGGAAAGUUCACACUGUGACGGUAUCUUACCAGAAAGGGACGGCUAACUACGUGCCAGCAGCCGCGGUAAUACGUAGGUCCCGAGCGUUGUCCGGAUUUAUUGGGCGUAAAGCGAGCGCAGGCGGUUAGAUAAGUCUGAAGUUAAAGGCUGUGGCUUAACCAUAGUAGGCUCUGGAAACUGUUUAACUUGAGUGCAAGAGGGGAGAGUGGAAUUCCAUGUGUAGCGGUGAAAUGCGUAGAUAUAUGGAGGAACACCGGUGGCGAAAGCGGCUCUCUGGCUUGUAACUGACGCUGAGGCUCGAAAGCGUGGGGAGCAAACA